CCUUCCUGUAUUGUGGAUCAGAGGUAAAGUGGGCGGGAGGACCUCGAUCGAUGCUGCGUUGGGAAGUUUCCAACACUGUGAAGGCAACUCCAAUUUCAGUUCCCGCAAGUUCCAAAUUCCUCCGGUCCGCAGCAGCCUAGAGCAGCAGACUGUGGGGAGGGAGAGAGCAGCGCAGCACAGCCGGCCGGUGAAGUUGCAGUGACUCUACAGAUCUCUAUGCGCUCUUCCGCACGUCUCCCGGAAUAUUUCUGGGGACAUGAAAUGCAGCGUCGCUGGUCCCGCUUUGCGCAGCGCCCCGCAGAUCUGCCACCACAAUGUGUUGCCGACUAUCGCUGACGCUUUGUUAGGGAUCGGGUGACGUUGGUGCUGGGGAGGAGCCUGGACUGUCCUGCACAAAUAUUACAGCGAGCAACGGAGCCCCAACUUCAGGCUGCACAUCGAGUGAUUGAAUAGGAAUUAAUGACAUUGUAAGGUGAAGGUGAAGAUGUUAGUUGUUGUGGUUUUUGGUAAGAGGAUGUGUUGCCGUGGCACACACCCAGGGCAGCACAUUCUAGGGGCGUCACAAGCACCCAAAAUGAAUUUGAUAUUGUUUACUUGCCCACUGGGGACUGAGUGUCCCUGUUUUGGCUUCAAUGUAAGUAGAGAAAGGAUCCAUGUUAAUUUAUCCGUUCAUCAUUUUAUGCCUUUUAGUUUUGGUUAUUUUACACCUUUUUUUAGGCUUGAAAAUUAACCGUCGUCAGUCGCAUAACAUUUCAUACCGACCGUGCAUGCAUUGGUACCUGCCUUGGAAACGUUUCAUAACCCCCAACAACCACAGUUUAAAAUGAUUCUGUAAUUUUACUACUACACUCUUCCGAUUUAUGUAGCUGUACUCUAAUGUAAUGUUAAACGAAUCUAAUAAUAUAAACCAGGACACUUUGUUUUGUG